UGGGGAAUAUUGGACAAUGGGCGAAAGCCUGAUCCAGCCACGCCGCGUGGGUGAUGAAGGCCUUCGGGUUGUAAAGCCCUGUCGGGAGGGACGAAUCAAUGACGGUACCUCCCAAGAAAGCACCGGCUAACUCCGUGCCAGCAGCCGCGGUAAUACGGAGGGUGCAAGCGUUGCUCGGAAUUACUGGGCGUAAAGCGUACGCAGGCGGCUUGAUAAGUCGGGUGUGAAAGCCCCAGGCUCAACCUGGGAA
rnacentral:rRNA from 1 species